rnacentral:rRNA from 1 species
AACGAACGCUGGCGGCAUGCCUAACACAUGCAAGUCGAACGAGACCUUCGGGUCUAGUGGCGCACGGGUGCGUAACGCGUGGGAACCUGCCCUUAGGUUCGGAAUAACUCCCCGAAAGGGGUGCUAAUACAGGAUAAUGUCUUCGGACCAAAGAUUUAUCGCCUUUGGAUGGGCCCGCGUUGGUUUAGCGAGUUGGUAGGGUAAAAGCCUACCAAGGCGACGAUCCAUAGCUGGUCUGAGAGGAUGAUCAGCCACACUGGGACUGAGACACGGCCCAGACUCCUACGGGAGGCAGGAGUGGGGAAUAUUGGACAAUGGGCGAAAGCCUGGUCCAGCAAUGCCGCGUGAGUGAGGAAGGCCUUAGGGUUGUAAAGCUCUUUUACCCGGGAUGAUAAUGACAGUACCGGGAGAAUAAGCUCCGGCUAACUCCGUG